UGAAGCAGGCACACUUCUAAGGACC
rnacentral:piRNA from 1 species